ACUCUAGUUUGACUUUGUGAGAAGACGGGUGUAGAAUAGGUGGGAGUUCCGGCGCCGGUGAAAUACCACACUACCUUUAUCAUAUUUUACUUAUCCAAUGAAGCGGAACUGGGCUUCACCGCCCAGCUUCUGGCGUUAAGAUCCCUCGCGGACUAUCUGAGUUGAAAACAUUGUCAGGCGGGGGGU
rnacentral:ncRNA from 1 species